UUUCCAAUUGAAUUAGAGAAUAGGUAAUUGACCUUGCAAAUUACUUGGUAACAAGUCUCAUUUUGGUUGAUGUAAGCAUGGGUCUAUGGUCGUAUGGGCACUUGCAUUUUUAGGUUGUAGAAACAUAAAAGAUCAAUGCAUUCUGAGGCCUGCAACUGCUGCAUAUAUUAAGAAUUGCAUUAAUGAGUUCUAGAAAUCAUGCAUAUUCUUUUAGUCAUACUCAUAGGUCAACUCGACUAUAGCUUCACAUUUUUUUAGUACUCUUUUUUAUUUUAUUUUUUUCCCUAUCUCAUGCUUUUGCACUGCAUUUAUAGCUAAUCAUGAAUUGGAUGACAUUAGUUCAAGUCUAUUAGGUGCUCCUGUGUAUUUAUGGAACUCUGAGAACAGUACUUUGUGAAAUUGGGACUGUAUAAACUCAUAUGUUGCUUAAUGCUGCUGUUGGAAGUUUGAUAAUGAGGUGCUUGUUUGGAAAUGACAUGUUUGACGUGAGUUAAACAUACUUGAAGGUAUCAGUGAACUUUUGGUAAUUAUUGAUUAUCAAAUAGAUAAGUGGGAUCCAAAAUUGAAGAUGUGUAAUCUAUUGCUUCAGAGCUUCUGAUAUUUCUAGUUGCUAUUUUGAGAUUAGUGAACACUACAAAGGUGUUGUUGAUUUCUUCUUGGCCUCACAGUAAAUUGCUGAGCUGCAAGGUAGGGUUUGGGCAGAAGAUAUUUUGUUAAUCAGGAUUUUUGUUUAACUGUAUAAUCGUUUAGCAUUUUUGUUUGAAGUGUUUUUUUGUUAAAAAAUAUUGAACACAGCGUCUGGGUUCAUGUUUCUAUGGUUGUAAGAUAUUUUGGGAUGGAAGAAGCGGGGGUUUGAUCGGUGGAACAUGUACUUUUUUUUUCCCUGUUUUCAAGUAGUUGUAUUGUGAAUAUUAUUUAUGUAUGCGGG
rnacentral:misc_RNA from 1 species